GCUCUCAUGGCGUAGUGGUCACUGCACUCGCCUUGCACAUGGGAGACCCGGGUUUGAUUCCCGGCGGGGUCA
rfam:Asian citrus Psyllid, Diaphorina citri - Florida Strain, whole genome shotgun sequence.